GGUCUUAUAGUCAUUAUAUGAUUUUAAAUUGCAAAUUUAAAGGAAACCCCUUGGUUUAAGGCUU
rnacentral:tRNA from 1 species